rnacentral:lncRNA from 1 species
AGAAAGACAAAGAAAACAAAGUAUAGCAGAAGAAGAGAAGGGUAAGUAGUAAAACAGAAAUAAAACUAGCAUUCCCAUUUGAUACAUAGAACAUCAAAAGCAUGAGAAGGAAUUAAUAAAUGGAUCUAGACAGAAAUUACAGAAAAUGGAGAAACAAGUGAAGUGACCCUCUAGCUAGCUAGUAACUAAUCUUCUACUAGUACCGUUGUGGUGCAAGAUAAAUAGUGGCUAUGUUGGGCAAAAUAAAGAAGCGAAAAUUGCCGUCGUCAAAGUUGAGGGAGUAACUAAAAGGGUCAUAGUUGAAGGUGGUGUUGUUAUUGGAGCGAGCCUUGAUUUGCCUCUUCAUAUAUGCUCUGACCCUCCAAAACAAACUCAUCAACCUUCUCUUAGCAUGCAGAACCACCAAGCGUGGCUCAAAUUCAAAAUCGCAACACAUGAUUAUGAAUAGAAAAAGAGAUGAUGAAAGCAAAGUGUAAAUGCUGCAGGAGUUAUAUAUAUCACAAAAGAAUAGUGUAAAAAGAGGGAUUAUUUAUGGG